rnacentral:rRNA from 1 species
GAUCCUGGCUCAGGGCGAACGCUGGCGGCGUGCCUAACACAUGCAAGUCGAACGGGGCUAGGAAAGCUUGCUUUCCGAAGCCUAGUGGCGGACGGGUGAGUAACGCGUGAGUAACCUGCCUUUCAGAGGGGAAUAACGUUCUGAAAAGAACGCUAAUACCGCAUAACGUACAGUUACCGCAUGGUAGCAGUACCAAAGGAGCAAUCCGCUGAAAGAUGGACUCGCGUCCGAUUAGCUAGUUGGUGGGGUAAAGGCCU